GUGGAUGUAGCUCAGUGGUAGAGCACGUACUUAGCAAGCAUGAGGUCCUAGGUUCAAUCCCCAACACCUCCA
rnacentral:tRNA from 1 species